AGCGGCGGACGGGUGAGUAACACGUGGGUGACCUGCCCAAGAGACUGGGAUAACACCUGGAAACAGAUGCUAAUACCGGAUAACAACACUAGACGCAUGUCUAGAGUUUGAAGGAUGGUUCUGCUAUCACUCUUGGAUGGACCUGCGGUGCAUUAGCUAGUUGGUAAGGUAACGGCUUACCAAGGCAAUGAUGCAUAGCCGAGUUGAGAGACUGAUCGGCCACAUUGGGACUGAGACACGGCCCAAACUCCUACGGGAGGCAGCAGUAGGGAAUCUUCCACAAUGGACGAAAGUCUGAUGGAGCAACGCCGCGUGAGUGAAGAAGGGUUUCGGCUCGUAAAGCUCUGUUGGUAGUGAAGAAAGAUAGAGGUAGUAACUGGCCUUUAUUUGACGGUAAUUACUUAGAAAGUCACGGCUAACUACGUGCCAGCAGCCGCGGUAAUACGUAGGUGGCAAGCGUUGUCCGGAUUUAUUGGGCGUAAAGCGAGUGCAGGCGGUUCAAUAAGUCUGAUGUGAAAGCCUUCGGCUCAACUGGAGAAUUGCAUCAGAAACUGUUGAACUUGAGUGCAGAAGAGGAGAGCGGAACUCCAUGUGUAGCGGUGGAAUGCGUAGAUAUAUGGAAGAACACCAGUGGCGAAAGCGGCUCUCUGGUCUGCAACUGACGCUGAGGCUCGAAAGCAUGGGUAGCGAGCAGGAUUAGAUACCCUGGUAGUCCAUGCCGUAACGAUGAGUGCUAAGUGU
rnacentral:rRNA from 1 species